GACGUAGGGCGCGAGCGUUUGUCCGGAUUUAUUGGGCGUAAAGAGCUCGUAGGCGGCUUGUCGCGUCGUUCGUGAAAACCCGGGGCUCAACUCCGGGCUUGCGGGCGAUACGGGCAGGCUAGAGUUCGGUAGGGGAGACUGGAAUUCCUGGUGUAGCGGUGAAAUGCGCAGAUAUCAGGAGGAACACCGGUGGCGAAGGCGGGUCUCUGGGCCGAUACUGACGCUGAGGAGCGAAAGCGUGGGGGAGCAAACAGG
rnacentral:rRNA from 1 species